rnacentral:rRNA from 1 species
GACGAACGCUGGCGGCGUGCUUAACACAUGCAAGUCGAACGGAAAGGCCCUGCCUUUGUGGGGUGCUCGAGUGGCGAACGGGUGAGUAACACGUGAGUAACCUGCCCUUGACUUUGGGAUAACUUCAGGAAACUGGGGCUAAUACCGGAUAGGAGCUCCUGCUGCAUGGUGGGGGUUGGAAAGUUUCGGCGGUUGGGGAUGGACUCGCGGCUUAUCAGCUUGUUGGUGGGGUAGUGGCUUACCAAGGCUUUGACGGGUAGCCGGCCUGAGAGGGUGACCGGCCACAUUGGGACUGAGAUACGGCCCAGACUCCUACGGGAGGCAGCAGUGGGGAAUAUUGCACAAUGGGCGGAAGCCUGAUGCAGCAACGCCGCGUGCGGGAUGACGGCCUUCGGGUUUUAAACCGCUUUCGCCUGUGACGAAGCGUGAGUGACGGUAAUGGGUAAAGAAGCACCGGCUAACUACGUG